CACGUAGGGACCAAGCGUUGUCCGGAUUCAUUGGGCGUAAAGAGCUCGUAGGCGGUUUGUCGCGUCUGCCGUGAAAGUCCGGGGCUCAACUCCGGAUCUGCGGUGGGUACGGGCAGACUAGAGUGAUGUAGGGGAGACUGGAAUUCCUGGUGUAGCGGUGGAAUGCGCAGAUAUCAGGAGGAACACCAAUAGCGAAGGCAGCUCGCUGGGACGGUAUUGACGCUAAGGCGCGAAAGCGUGGGGAGCAAACAGGG
rnacentral:rRNA from 1 species